UGGGGAAUUUUGGACAAUGGGGGAAACCCUGAUCCAGCCAUCCCGCGUGUGCGAUGAAGGCCUUCGGGUUGUAAAGCACUUUUGGCAGGAAAGAAACGUCGCGGGUUAAUACCCCGCGAAACUGACGGUACCUGCAGAAUAAGCACCGGCUAACUACGUGCCAGCAGCCGCGGUAAUACGUAGGGUGCAAGCGUUAAUCGGAAUUACUGGGCGUAAAGCGUGCGCAGGCGGUUCGGAAAGAAAGAUGUGAAAUCCCAGAGCUUAACUUUGGAACUGCAUUUUUUAACUACCGGGCUAGAGUGUGUCAGAGGGAGGUGGAAUUCCGCGUGUAGCAGUGAAAUGCGUAGAUAUGCGGAGGAACACCGAUGGCGAAGGCAGCCUCCUGGGAUAACACUGACGCUCAUGCACGAAAGCGUGGGGAGCAAACAGGAUUAGAUACCCUGGUAGUCCACGCCCUAAAACGAUGUCAACUAGCUGUUGGGGCUUUCGGGCCUUGGUAGCGCAGCUAACGCGUGAAGUUGACCGCCUGGGGAGUACGGUCGCAAGAUUAAAAA
rnacentral:rRNA from 1 species